UUUAAAAUCAAUUUGUAAAUAUUAGGUGUUGCUUUUAUAUUAUUAUACCGACGGAAAACUGCAAACUAUCCUUAUAUUUAUAUACAAUCAGUGAAUGUAAAUAAUGACAUUAAAAUAUUGACGGUCUAAGCUUUUCCUGUGCCGAUAUAGUAGCGUCUUUUAACUUUAUAAGAACAAAUACGUGCAUCUAUAAUCAUGCAAUACGCUUCUCAAGUCCGCUGUCCAGCUUCGCAGCGUGUGUUUCAGCAAAGAGCGCGUGUUAAGGAUGGGCUUUCUUGUGGAGGGAUAUGUUGGUGUUUAUUUUGUAUUACUAUAAUAAUUGUGGGUAUUAUUGUCACCUUAUGGGGCUUAUACAAUAUAAAAGUUUAACGCAAUGCCGGCACAUCCUGAGUCGCUGCCAUCCGUUACCUUACUACCCGUGUGUGCACCGCCCGCCCGCUUCUGUAGACGACCCGAUUUGAGUAAUUUAAUUUCGAGUAAAAAUAUACCAGGAUAUAGGAAUAUUGCCACCCAAACUUCAUCACCGGCGACUUCAGCCAGCCAAACCUCAACAAAUCAACAAGACGACUCCCGUACUGCUUGUACUCAUAGGUUUCUUAUAAUUGCAGUUAUUAUUUUUUUAAUUGUAAUUGUAGUCUUGAUUUUGUGGCUAUCAUAAUACUAUGAGAAUCAUAAUUAAA